CCCGGACACAUUAUUUUCUCCAAGGAAUUUCUUCUUUUCAUUAUUUCCCUCCAAAGGAAUGUGGGAGCUGCUGGGUGAAGGCAGUUUUGGCUCAGGAUUGCUCUUGCUGGUUGCAGUCAGAUGUUUGGGGCUGUCAUCUCUGAAGUAUGCCCGGGACAGCGAAGUCUAAUUCCAAGAUGGCUCAUUCACGCUGGUCGGGGCAGAGCAGCACACACUCAACAAGUGAAGCCAGUCAAAACACUCCCUCCUGACGAAGCCAGUGGAAUCAGUGUGUUUGUAAAACUGACGGCGUUUUUGUUGACAGGCAAAUGUCUAUAUCACAUGGCAACAAAUGGCUGGAAGAUGCAAAAACGCAGUCAAUCAUCAGAGAUUUUUUUUUACCUCUUCUUUA